rnacentral:rRNA from 1 species
UACGUAGGGUGCAAGCGUUGUCCGGAAUUAUUGGGCGUAAAGAGCUCGUAGGCGGUCUGUCGCGUCGGCUGUGAAAACCCGGGGGCUCAACCCCCGGGCCUGCAGUCGAUACGGGCAGACUAGAGUGUGGUAGGGGAGACUGGAAUUCCUGGUGUAGCGGUGAAAUGCGCAGAUAUCAGGAGGAACACCGGUGGCGAAGGCGGGUCUCUGGGCCGGUACUGACGCUGAGGAGCGAAAGCGUGGGUAGCAAACAGG